rnacentral:rRNA from 1 species
UGCGCAGCUGAUGAUUCAACGCCGCGGGCGGAUGAAGGUCUUCGGAUUGUAAACUCCUGUUGCUCGGGAAGAAAAGCUCCAACCUAAUACGUUGGAGUCUGACGGUACCGGGUGAGGAAGCCCCGGCUAACUCUGUGCCAGCAGCCGCGGUAAUACAGAGGGGGCAAGCGUUGUUCGGAAUUACUGGGCGUAAAGGGCGCGUAGGCGGCCUGCUAAGUCGAACGUGAAAACCCCGGGCUCAACCCGGGAACUGCGUCCGAUACUGGUGGGCUUGAAUCCGGGAGAGGGAUGCGGAAUUCCAGGUGUAGCGGUGAAAUGCGUAGAUAUCUGGAGGAACACCGGUGGCGAAGGCGGCAUCCUGGACCGGCAUUGACGCUGAGGCGCGAAAGCUAGGGUAGCAAACGGGAUUAGAUACCCCGGUAGUCCUAGCCCUAAACGAUGAAUGCUUGGUGUGGCGGGUAUCGAUCCCUGCCGUGCCGAAGCUAACGCAUUAAGCAUUCCGCCUGGGGAGUACGGUCGCAAGGCUGAAACUCAGAGGAAUUGACGGGGGCCCGCACAAGCGGUGGAGCAUGUGGUUUAAUUCGACGCAACGCGAAGAACCUUACCCAGGCUUGAACUGCAGGUGACAUUCUACGAAAGUAGACUUCCGCAAGGACGCCUGUAGAGGUGCUGCAUGGCUGUCGUC